rnacentral:misc_RNA from 1 species
UCCUGGUUAACCCAGGCAGUCUCAUUAGAGUUCCCACCUUAAAUGUUGGCAACUAAUGAUAAGGGUUGCGCUCGUUGCGGGACUUAACCCAACACCUCACGGCACGAGCUGACGACAGCCAUGCAGCACCUGUGCAGCAGUCCCGAAGGAAAGGCCCAUCUCUGGACCGGUCUACUGCAUGUCAAGCCUGGGUAAGGUUCUUCGCGUAGCAUCGAAUUAAACCACAUGCUCCACUGCUUGUGCGGGUCCCCGUCAAUUCUUUUGAGUUUCAGCCUUGCGACUGUACUCCCCAGGCGGUAUACUUAACGCGUUAGCUCCGGCACAAUCAGGGUUGAGUCCGAUUACACCAAGUAUACAUCGUUUACAGCAAGGACUAC